rnacentral:rRNA from 1 species
UAGUGGCGAACGGGUGAGUAACACGUGGGCAAUCUGCCCUGCACUCUGGGACAAGCCCUGGAAACGGGGUCUAAUACCGGAUAACACUGUCCCCCUCCUGGGGGACGGUUGAAAGCUCCGGCGGUGCAGGAUGAGCCCGCGGCCUAUCAGCUUGUUGGUGGGGUAAUGGCCUACCAAGGCGACGACGGGUAGCCGGCCUGAGAGGGCGACCGGCCACACUGGGACUGAGACACGGCCCAGACUCCUACGGGAGGCAGCAGUGGGGAAUAUUGCACAAUGGGCGAAAGCCUGAUGCAGCGACGCCGCGUGAGGGAUGACGGCCUUCGGGUUGUAAACCUCUUUCAGCAGGGAAGAAGCGAAAGUGACGGUACCUGCAGAAGAAGCGCCGGCUAACUACGUGCCAGCAGCCCGCGGUAAUACGUAGGGCGCAAGCGUUGUCCGGAAUUAUUGGGCGUAAAGAGCUCGUAGGCGGUCUGUCACGUCGGGUGUG